AAAAGUGUAGUGUAGUGGAUGCACACCAAUCAUAUUUAGACUGGAAGCGUAGGAUCGAAACCUGCCACUUUUA